rnacentral:rRNA from 1 species
UUAACGCGAAGAACCUUACCAACUCUUGACAUCCCCCUGACCGGUACAGAGAUGUACCUUCCCCUUCGGGGGCAGGGGUGACAGGUGGUGCAUGGUUGUCGUCAGCUCGUGUCGUGAGAUGUUGGGUUAAGUCCCGCAACGAGCGCAACCCUUGUCCUUAGUUGCCAGCAUUUAGUUGGGCACUCUAGGGAGACUGCCGGUGACAAACCGGAGGAAGGUGGGGAUGACGUCAAAUCAUCAUGCCCCUUAUGAGUUGGGCUACACACGUGCCACAAUGGACGGUACAAAGGGCAGCAAAGCCGCGAGGUGGAGCCAAUCCCAGAAAGCCGUUCUCAGUUCGGAUUG